AGGAUGAACGCUGGCGGCGUGCCUAAUACAUGCAAGUCGAGCGAACGGAUGAGAAGCUUGCUUCUCUGAUGUUAGCGGCGGACGGGUGAGUAACACGUGGAUAACCUACCUAUAAGACUGGGAUAACUUCGGGAAACCGGAGCUAAUACCGGAUAAUAUUUUGAACCGCAUGGUUCAAAAGUGAAAGACGGUCUUGCUGUCACUUAUAGAUGGAUCCGCGCUGCAUUAGCUAGUUGGUAAGGUAACGGCUUACCAAGGCAACGAUGCAUAGCCGACCUGAGAGGGUGAUCGGCCACACUGGAACUGAGACACGGUCCAGACUCCUACGGGAGGCAGCAGUAGGGAAUCUUCCGCAAUGGGCGAAAGCCUGACGGAGCAACGCCGCGUGAGUGAUGAAGGUCUUCGGAUCGUAAAACUCUGUUAUUAGGGAAGAACAUAUGUGUAAGUAACUGUGCACAUCUUGACGGUACCUAAUCAGAAAGCCACGGCUAACUACGUGCCAGCAGCCGCGGUAAUACGUAGGUGGCAAGCGUUAUCCGGAAUUAUUGGGCGUAAAGCGCGCGUAGGCGGUUUUUAAGUCUGAUGUGAAAGCCCAGGUCAACCGUGGAGGGUCAUUGGAAACUGGAAAAUUGAGUGCAGAAGAGGACAAGUGGAAUUCCAUGUGUAGCGGGUGAAAUUGCGGCAGCAGCAUCUGGGAGGCAACACCAGUGGCGAAGGCCGACUUCCUGGGUCUGUAACCUGAACCGCUUGAUGUGCGAAACAGCGUUGG
rnacentral:rRNA from 1 species